GAGAUAUUAGUUGUACUUACUGGAGCUCCUUUGUUUUGCAGAGAUCAUGAUGCAGCCGUCCUUUUGGAUUUCUUUUUAAUAAUGUGUGACCCUUCACCUUUGAUCCCCUGACCUGCAUUACCUUGGUAACCAUUUCAUUUUUUAAUUUAAUUUCAUUUUUAAUUUUGGUGUACAAGCUGUAACAUUUCAUCUCUCAAAGUGUAGCACGCUGAUUUCCUCAGAUAGAGAUACCCCUUUGAGCGAUAAAUUUGCAAAAUGCUGUCUUCAUUUUUUGUAUUAAAAUUCAUUUCAGUUUUAUAAAAUAAAAUGUAAUCUGUGUUUUCAUCCUUUUAAAAUUUAAGUUUAGUGAGUGCAUUCCCCCAUACAGGAUAGUUCCUCUUCUACCAGUGUUUUGCGGAAGCUGAAUUAAGUGACAUUCAUAUGUAAUGCACACCCCCCUUACCCCCACUCCACUGCCACUCCCUGUCAUUCCCCUGCUGUCACCACACAGCCCUGCCAUUGCAGGAUGAUGACUUGUCUUCCCUUCAGAAUAGUAGCAACUUGAAUUUUAGUCUUAGCAGCCAGGUUCUGCACCCUCAGGUUAUAUUUUGUAUUCUCAAAUAUUGUGGGGAGGGAAAGCUUAGAGUUUUAUUUUUAAUUUCAUUUAAGGGCUGGAAGAAUGUAAGCUAUUUUCAUUACCAGUGUUUGCCUUUCCCACCUCCUUUAAUGUUUUAUUUCUUUGAGACCUAAAUUAAGGAAAAGUCACAGUUUUAAUUUGACCAAAAAAUGUGGUUUUGUCUAUGCUGAAAUUUUAUCAGUGAGCUCUGCUGGUCCCUAUAUCAGAUUGAUUUUUGCCAUUUGUUCUUAUUUCAUGUUUGCUUUUCAAAUAAUGUAUUUUUAUUGUACUCUUCUUCUUUUCAGAAAAUUCUUAAAAGCAAAACAAACCAAAACCAAAAGUCAAACUUGAGUUAAUUCUUUGAACUGGCAAAAUACUCCAAGAAAUUGUAUUCUUAAAAAAAAAAAAAAAGCUGCGGACUCUCUUGCAUGGCCCAGUGAAGCACAGAUGAUUUUUUAAGUGUCUCAUUAUUUUAUUCUCUAACAUUUAAUGCUGAUGUUUUAAUUGCACACAGCUGAAGCUGCUAAAUGAGUACUGAAAUAGAUUUAAGUCCUCUCUGAGCUUUGUUGAUACCUAUAAAAGUUUAUAUCAUUCAUUAGAACCACAAAUUAAAAUUAGUUGUGGUGAGCUGUUCAUUGGAGAUUGGAACUCUCACGAACAUUUUAGCUCACAGACUUUGUUUUUGCCUGUUACACCUAUUUACCUGGAAAGCUGCUUUCGCCCUGUUGGGUAUCCUUUCUUUUCACAGAAUUGGAAAAAUAUCAGAGUUGAGGAAUACAAAUAGACAACUCAUCCUAUGAUUGUAAAGCCCCCAUGAUUAUAAGUGUUCCAGUGGUUGAGAGCAGCUUCCUUGCUGAACCUUGAAUUUUAAGGUGAUUUUUUUAUUAUAAUGUGUUCCACUGUUGUGCAGAGAAAUUUUCCAGAUCCAGAAACUUUUUUUUUUUGGCCUUAGGUACGUUGUUUAUUUGUUCUUUUGUUUAUUUGUUCUUCUAGCACCAAAGGGAUGGUGCCUGAAUCACAGUUCAUAGACUCACAGGGCUUUAGGGGACAGUGACUGCUUGUCAGCUCCACUCCUCUUCCUGAGGGAUGAGCUGGCCCAUGGUUCCCUGGGGAGUCACAAGUUCUCUGAUGACAGAGUCAGCUCUCUCUGUGGGCCCCCAUCUACUUGAGAGAGCCAGAUAACUUUAUUUAUAGCCUGUAGUAGGAGAUGAAGAGACAUUAAUAGGUGCAGAAAUAAUUUCUAUUGUCAUGUUUUAUUUUGUGAUUAAAUCAGUUAAAAAUUUUAAGGUUUUCUGAUUAAUACAUUUUAAGAGAACCUAAUUUUUCUAAGAGAGCUAGUACACAAAUACACUUAUUAUUUUCAAUGAACAUUAGUUAUAUGGUUAGUAUUUAGGACUUCUGGUAAGUUGUGAGGCACAUGAAUACUGUUUUUGUAAUCAUGAUUCACUGAGAAAACCCUUGUCUGAGAGUCAGAAAACUUGCUUUGGACUAGCAUCAAGGUCUUUGGACAUGUUACUGGUGUCUUUUGAGGUAGUUACCCCCAAACUAAAAUAUUCGAAGACAAAGAACUUGACACUUUAAUUUGGGAAUGAAUACUGUGAAAUCAGUUGUCUUGAUUGACCACAUAGGAGCUUGUAAAACAUUUCGUUGAUGCUGCUUCCAUUUUAUGUGUAUGUGAAAUGUAGACUGUGUGUCUCCUACUUGCCUUUUAGGGUUGUUGGGAGGAUAAAUGAAACACACACUGGGAACUCAGAAGAAAGGUGCUUUUGAAACUGAACCUCAUCCUAUGGCUGUGCCAAGAGGCAGUGGUAGUGAACCCCGUGGUGAAGGGCCAGGACCAUGGCUCUGGAGCCAGGCUGCCGUGGUUUGAAUCCCACCUUGGCCUCUUGCAAGCGGUCUGACUGCAGCACAUUACCUAACCUCCCUGUGCCUGAGUUUCCUCCUCUUUAACUUGAGGAUGAUAAUAGUAGCACCUACUCAAAGGAUCCUGGUGAGUUUUAGCUGAGCUGAUGUGUGCGGAAUCCUUAGAGCUGCGCUGGCGUGUAGCGAGCGAGGCCACACCUGCACACCAUGGGCAGGACAUAUACCUUGCACAAAAUGACAUUGCAGCCCCCCCAUCCCCCUGCCCACCAUUAGUCUUCUAACAUUGAUUUAGAAACCAUUGAAUGCUUAGAGAGGGGUACUGCAUAGUUGGUGAUAUUUAAGCACCUCUAGAUAGAAGUUCAGUGGGUAAAGUUAAAUUUGGCUUCCUAACCUUUUUGUAAAAAAAUUCAGCUCACUAGGAUCUGCCUGACACUCUGACUGUUCUUUUGUUUUAGCUGUUUUGGGUUAUGGAGGCAUAAGGGGAGAGGUGUGAGGGAGGGAGCUGCCUUUUGCCUAGUUAGCUUUCGUACCUCCACUCUGCUAAGUUGUCUAGCUGGCUUUCAAGGAGUUAGAGGGUUGAACUGUUGAGGGGCUUUUACUUGACCGUAUGAGGCUUUGGACUCCUCUUAAGUAGAUCGAAGGAUGGGACCCACAGUUGUCCCUGCAUGAGAGAGAAUAUAUGUUGCAUUGUUCCCAGUGCUUUCCAUACAUUUUAAUCAUCCAGAUUUAUCCAGGAGGUGAAUGGUGUGUUAACCCAGUUUUGCAUCUGAAAAUGCUGAGGUUUAGGUAGGGUAAAUACACUUUCCUAGGUGCACAUCCCUAGUAGACUGCACAGUUGCAGAACUGGCAUUUAAAUCCAGGUGCUGCUUACCUCCUGAUACUUGCUGCCUUGCAUUCACCUGCAAACCUGGUAGAACCUCUUAACAAGAGACUGUUCUGCUGUUUUCGUUGCAAGGACCUGAACUGCAUAUAUUAGUGUCCCUCAGCCAUUGGACCUUUUAAAUGAACAGCACCUCUAACUUAGUAAGAACUCAUAUGAUGGAGUAGCUGGCUCUAACAAUCUAUUACCACCAUUAUCAGGAAAGUUCCAUUAUAUAUGUGGCACUUGAUCCUGGUUGCACAUCUGGAAUCACUCGUGUAGUGUUUUGUUUAAAAUUUGAAGCACUAGUCCCAUCCGUGACUGAUUGUGGUCUAGCAGAGAACCAUUGAUCAACAGGUUCAGAUAUAUAGAAAGGUUUUUUUUUUUUUUUUGCCUAGUUACAUACAAACAAAAAUUGAUUUUCUGUACACGCACAGAUUUGUGCUUCUAGAAUAUGGACCAGUGCAAUUAGUUCUAUAGUUGGCUACAUUGUAGAUUAAAAUGGAUCUCUAGUUUAAUCAUUUAACCAACACUGAUCAGUACCCUUCCUGAAGGCAAGGUCCCAGCAUCUAUUCCCUAAAUGCAGUCGUGUGUGAGAACCCCGAACGUCCUGAGAGGUGGGCUCUCACUUAGUUACAGGGUGAACCAAGUAGAGGGCCCUGUUUGCUUUCUUCUCCCUUUCACCUGUCUUCUUUCUCUUUUAUGCAUCCAUUUUUCCUUUCUCUUCUCCUUCCCUUCUCCAUAGUUCUGUCCUCCCUCUUUUUCUCUUUCUUACAUUUAUCUGAUUUUGACAGUGUGACAAUCAUCAAGCUGUAAAGUACUUGAACUACUUCAUGUGCACAGCACAUAGUAGGUGUUCAAAUGAACUUUUUCUUAUUUUUCUUAGCAUCUGAUUUUCAAAGGAGUAGGCACUACCCCUCAUUAAGCCUGAACUUUGUUAGAUUUUGUUUGUGAUUGUCUAUCCUAACUUGGUUUAUCUUGUGAAUUUAGAUAGUUUAGUCUCACUGGUUCUGAUAAGUUGAGGAACUCCAGGGUUUAGUCACUGAGUAGUACAGAAGCUUAGGGAAUAGAACAGACUUAGAUUGUUUUAGAGGCUGCUUUUAUCAGGCUUCUAAUGUAUUUGCUUCUAGUAUAUUUUUAAGCCAGAGGAUCUGUGUUUGCCUCGUCAGACCCCCUUUGUUUGGUGAUGAGGAAGCUGCCAUGGAGAGGGAAAGGCCGUUGGACUUGCUGCUGCUACCUCCUCUGGUAGCAUUGUGUGUUGGGACAGAGAGCAGAGCAAACAAUAUGACAGCCUAGAGGUCUGCAGCUGACUGUUUGCCUCCAGAAAUGUUGGAGAAGUAGUCACAGUAAUCCUCCUUCUGCUUCCCCCUUUCACAGGAGAGGUGACCUAAGGGUGGGGCGAUUCUGAGGGGAGUGGCAGGCCUCCCCAGCGUGGAAGUCGGGAGGCUGUGUGUGCGGCCCUGCACCCCAGCAGGUUGGCCCAGGCGCCAGCUGGCUGCCUUAGGAGUUCCUUCUGAUGGCCUUUAGCCCUUCGAGGCUUUUCGGAGGCUGAGAAACGCGCGGUAAAGGUAUGGAAAGGUGUUUUUGUCAUUCUUCAGUGAAAAUCUGCCCUAACCAGAAAGGGAGUUUCUGCCUAGGCAGGAAACCAUUGAAAAAGCUCGUUUGUGUUAGUUGUGGUUAUUGUUUCCCCUGGAAACUGUGGCCGUGGUUACUGUGGUACUGUGUGACAAUCUGAGUGUUUAGACUAGAUUUCCUGUUUUCCACACACAUUUAUAAGUGGGUUCAGAAAUGUGCCUGUGAUGAACAUCACACAUACCUACUACAAAACUUGGAUGGUCAGCUUGGUGUGGUUUUGUGCACCUCUAAGCCCAGUGGCUCAGAAGGCUGAGGCAGGAAGAUUGCAAGUUUAAAGUCAGCCUCAGCAACUUAGGGAGACCCUGAGCACCUAAGUGAGUCCCUUUCUUAAAAUGUAAAGAGGGCUAGGGAUGUGGUGCUGUGUUUAAAUGCCCUGGGUUCAGUCCCCUGUACCCAAAACAAAAACAAACAAACAAAACACAACGGGUUUGACCUCCAGUCCUUUUUUCUCUUUGGUGCUGAUCCUUUUUCUUAUUUCUGCAUUUUUCCAAAGGAGAAACUAUAUGAUCUAACUUUUUGUGAUGGUGAGAGGAGGAUUGGUCUGGAGCGUUGAAGCUCUUGGUCAAGGUGUGGCUCUGGGUUUCCUUUUACCAGCUCUAGUUCACCUUACAUGCCUGGCACAAGUUCUUGUACAUAAUAGACACUCAGCAAACAUUAACUCUCUUUUCAUUUCUCAUUAGCACAGGUAAUUAAGAAUAGGAGCUGAUAGACUCCACAUAUCUGUGCAGAGAUAUAUCUGUAAUUAAAGUUUUAAUUAAAGAGACACCAGACCAGGCAGAUGGUUCUUAUCCUCAUAUCCUGUAAACCAAACAGCCGUGGCUUUUCGAUCUUGCAAACAAGCAAAGCUGAGAAGCUGCUUUCAUGGUGGGGCAUGGUAGUUUUAUUAACUAGCCAUGAUCUAUUUUGGUACUACUCUGUGUGAUGCCUGAUCCAGGGAUAAUCAUUGUAGUUUGAUAUGGAAAGACAAUACAUCAAAGUUAUGUCCCAACUGAAGCUUUCAAGCGUCAUCAAGGGCAUUGCCACAGCCCAGCUGGUGCAUCACAAGGCAUGUGGUUUUGUGCUAGAUCACAAAAGCUGACAAAGUAUUAUUUAGGAUCAUCCGCUAAAUACAGUAUUAAAUUAAAGCACCAUAAUCCUGAUUUUUCAGGUUUUGCCACUGUAUAGCAAUGCAGAAUUGAGUUGUGCCUGUUUGCCUCAUGCUGGUUCUCUUCUAUGUCACAGUGACCUUAUUGGCUAAUCAGGCGCAGAAUUUAAGAAAUAAAACAACUGCAGGGGCUAACUAACAGAAAAGGACUUAUCUCAGAUCUUAUCACUUUUUAGGCCCUUCCAGUGAACCCCAGCCAUUUAUUCUAUUGCAUCCCUGUUGGCAGGAGCCAGAGCAGUGCAGGGAAGUGGGCAGCUCACCUUGACCUCUUGGAUUUUACCCUCUUCUUUACCCGAAGUUUCAUAACCUUUCCUUGUAAUUUUUAAUGCAGCUAGCUGCAUGGUUUUCAGGCCUUCCAUGCAAGAGGCAGUUCUAUAACAGAAUUGCAUGCUGGUUGAUGUAGGUGUGUUUCUACCACCAGCAUCCCAGUUUAUUUUGUUAGGUAGAACCAGUACUGAAGAUGUUGAUUUCUUAUUGCACAAUGGAACAGUUUAGUGUAGAGAUUAGGAGCAUGGUUUCUGCUUUGCUGAACAGUGCUGCUUUCAUAGGAGGUGCAGUUUUUGUGUGAUAGAGUCCACAGUACACUGGGAAGUACACUGGAACUUUCACAUCACAGACCAGUCAUCAAGUGAUAGAACCUAGAAGUGUUUUAACUUACCUUAAUACCAUCUAUAAAUCAAGGUCCAUCUGUCCUAGCUGAAAUGUGUGUGCAUAGGCACAAGGAGAUGGGCCAGAACCAUGAGAUGUGCAUGUGCUUUGAGUGGAGCCUGUGUCUCAUGGGUAGCUGGAAAUGUGUCUACCACCUUCUGUCUCAGGGAAGGAUGUUUUUUGGUUUUAAAAGAGGUCAGUUCAUUGUAAGCUGCUUUGAUUAAAUAGUCUUUUGUUAUUGUAUCCAGAAAAUACCAUAGGAUCUAUGCAGAAAUGUAUUACUGAGUAUUAAGUUGGUAUUUUACAUAUGGAAUUUGAACCUGACCAAUUACAAAGUUUGUUUCUUUUCUAAUGUGGUUCAAGACCUGAACAUGUAACUUUGGAGUAGACAACACAAUUUUAGAUUGUAGGAGGUUUCCUAUGAAGUUAAACUCUUGCUGCAUAGAGAGCAGUAGUUAUGCCGCUUUGCUGUGUAGGAAUCAGACUUCCACAAAGAGGAGAAGCACCAACAAACCCACCUUACUUUUCUUUCUGUAGUGGGUUUAGAAAAAAUGUGCACCCCCACCCCAUGCUGGGGAUUGAACCCAGGCCUUUACCAUGUUGGGCAAAUACUGUGCUACAGAGCUACAUCCAUAGCCCUGGAAAAUCUGUAUUUUACCACAUAAUCGUCACCACUGCAUUAAUGCAGAUUCACUAAUACUCCAUGCAUAUCCUAAUCUUGAACCAGUGACAGUUUAGUAAUAAACGCAUUUUAAGUAAUACUGGCACAGUAUUUUUUUUUCUCUUUUAAAGCUUUAAAUAAUGGUCACGCUCAACUUUUUGCCAAAAAAGAAAAAGAAAUAAAAGGCAUAAAAUCUGCAAUGAUUAUGUGAUGAAAUGCAUAUAUUUUUGCCCUUUCUAGUUGUGUGAUGAUGGGAGUAGAGUGUUCUGCCCACUCCAGAGUGACUUACCACCAAAUAUUUCUUUCUUUCUUUUUUUUUUUUUAAUGGCGGUACUGGGGAUUGAACUCAGGGCCUCACACAGCUAGGCAAGUGCUCUGCCACUGAGAUAUGUCCCAAGCCCUUUUUCAUUUUUUUAAAAAUUUUUAAUUUUAAAUGUUGUUUUAUUAAUACAUUCGAGUUAUUCAUAAUAGUGGGGUUCAUUUUGACGUAUUCACACAUGCAUAUAACAUAAUUUGCUCCAUUUCAAUCCCUAGUAUUUUCCCCUAACCCUCGUCUCCUCCUUCCCCUUGAUUUCCUUCCUCUACUCUGUUGGUCUUUCUUCCAUUAAUUUAUUGUUUUUUUUUAAUUGGUGCAUUAUAGAUAUACAUAAAAGUAGAGUGGAAUUUUUGUGAUGUAUUUAUAAUGCACAUAACAUAUUUGAUCUUUUUUUUUUUUGCUGUUCCUCUCCUUUCCCAUCCCUACUUUUGCCCCUUUAUUCCCCUUUCUUUACUGUUCUGUUUUUAUAUCGCCCACUUCCCCACCCCCCUCUUGUUUUUAAAUUUCUCAUUUCUCCCUAAUUUCUGCAUAUGAGAAAACAUUGAAUCUUGAUUUUUUGAGUCUGUCUUAUUUCACGUAGCAUAAUGUUCUCCAGUUCCAUCCAUUUGUAAGUAAAUGACAUAAUUUCGUUCUUCUUUAUGGCUGAGUAACAUUCCAUUGCGCAUAUACACUACAUUUAAAAUUGUUGAUGGACCUUUAUUUUAUCUAUUUAUUUAUAUAUGGUGCUCAGAAUUGAACCCAGUCCCUCACACAUGCUAGGCAAGUGGUCUACCACUGAGCCACAACCCCAGACCCCUAUACGUCACAUUUUCUUGAUCCAUUUAUCUGUUGUUAGGCACCUGGACUGGGUUCAUUACUUGCUUAAUUUGGAUCAUGGUGCUAAAGACAACACCCAGCCCUUUAAAAAAUUUUUUUUUUAAAAACAGUUUCAAUGAGUUGCCUAUGCUGGCCUCUUAACUGGCCAUCAUCCUGUCUCGGAUUACAGGCAUGUCCAGCCACACCCAGCUUAUUUAUUUGUUCUUUAAAUAGUUAUUGAAUUCCUGGUAAAGGGCAGCAGUAAGCAAAAUUAUGCCAUUCCCCUCGAAAAGUUUAUUUUCUGGUUAGGGGAAAGGGCAAUAAACAAAAAAAGAGUAACAGUAAUUGAGAAUUUGUAUGAACCAGUCAUGUUGGUUAACUCUGUGUCCUCCUCAGAGCACUCUGUGCAGGUGAGUGCUGUUCUGCCCCUUUUGCAGCCUAGGGAGACACUACAGAGAUGUGGACUGGCCUCUGCCCCACCCAGUGGGCUCUGUGCUUUCACAUUCCAGGCUGCUUGACUCUCUAUUAAUAAACACUGCCUGAUCUGCUAAUUUCUAAAUAAUAAACACAUAUUAUUGUUAAUGAAUGUGAUGAAGAGCACACUCAUUAUCAAUAAUAUGUGUUUAUUGAUAAUAAUAAUAAUAAUAUCAAUAAAAGCCGCAAGGGAAGCCAUUUGGAGGGCUCCUGGAUGCCUGGGUGUAAGUGUUCGUUAGCAUCAUGACUUAAGUGGAUUCCCUCAUAAUGGGGGGUGAAGGAAGGUCACAUCAUGAGCCACAUAGCUAUCCAUCCAGAGGGAGGGUAUUCCAAGUCAAGGGAACAGAAAAAGCAAAGGCCCCAAGGUUGAUGUAGCUUUGUCAAAGGUGGAAGAGAAGCCAGGAAGCCAGGUGGGAACUGUCCCUGUCUCUAGGAGGGUGGGGAGGGGAGCAGCCAGGAGCAGCAUCCCUGGGGGCCUUGCAGGUCAGGGUAAGGCCUUUGAUUUUACUGAAGAGAGGGGAAAUGGUCCAAGAAUUUUUGAGCAGAAAAAAACAUGAUAAAAAGGAUCCCUCUGAAUGUAGGGCAGAGUCUAGGGCACGGUCCACAGACAACUGCCCGCUGGCCAGAUUGCUGCCCGCUUCGGUGUAGCCAGCAAGCUAAGAGUGCUGUGUACAUUUGUGAAUGGUUGGGAAAAAAUGAAUAAUAAUAUUUGGUGUCCCAGGAAAAGUAUGUGAAACUCAAAUUUUUGUGUCCAUUUUCAUUUUAGUGUUAUUGGAAUUGAGCCGCCCUUGUUACUUUGUGUAUGUCCAAAGCUGCCUUUGAGCAGCCUUAGCUGAACUGAGUCCUUUUAACAGACCACAUGGCCUGCCUCUGGCCCUUUUCAGAAAAAGUUACUGUUCCCUGUCUUGGGGGGAUGGAGUGGAAACAGAGGAGACCAGAGUAGACAUGGCAGAAGUGAAUGGUGGUCUGAACAGGCAGUAAGAAGUGAACAGAUGCAGGACCUGUUUCACAGCAAAAGCAGAUGUACUUUGUUCACAUGGGAAGAUUCCGGGUGAUGUGUGAGUGCGGCACUGAGUUACUGGAGAGUGCACUUGCCCUUUUGGGGGUUGGGAAGACUGUGGGAGUGACAGGUUGGGGAGGAGGGUGAGCAAGAGGCCAGAGUUGUAUUUUGGAUAUGUUGGCUUUAUGGUGCCAAGUGGAGGUGUUGGGUGUCAGUCACUUGUGAGUCCAACUCUGAGGAGAGGCUGAGGCUCAAAGUAAGUAUUGGAGUGUUUUCACAUAUUGCAGGAAGGCUUCCAAGCUGUGGGAGGGUGGAAAUCCUGUAGGGAGCACACUUGGAGGGCAAGUCCAAACCUGGAACCCUGGGGUGCCCAGCAUUAAGGGUAAGGAAGCAGACAAUGAGAGGGAGCAGCCAGAGAGCGCACUUGAGCAGAUUGGGGUGUCCUGGAAGCACAGUAUGGUUCUCUGUGUCGCAUGCUGCUCAAGGUCAAGCAAGAUGCCAACUAAAGAUUCACCAUGAAUUUGGCAGUGUGGAAGUCACUCGUGGCUCUGAUAAGAGGUGCCUGAGUGACGUGGUGAGACAGGAACCUGAAACCAGCUGGGUUAAUGAAAAUGGGAGGACAGGCAGUAGAGCUGGUGUGUAGGAGACUGUCUCCUAAAGCCUGAUUGCAGGCCAGGAAGGGGCAAGAGUGGGAUUUAACCUGAGAUUAGGAUUUUGCUAGUUGAGGUCAGUGGAGGAAAGGGUGUGAGGGAACUGAGUAGGAGAGUCCAUAUGACAGUGGAGAGUCCAUAUGACAGUGGAUUGUGUAAUUGAUGCCAGGCAAGGAGCAGGAUGCAGGGAGGAGAUGAGGGACAGCAGGAGGUUGUGGGGGUCAGCAGAUUCAAGGAGUUGUUGGAUUUGGGGUGGUCAAGAGUCGUGUGCUUGAAAUUGUCAUCGUGGAGGGUGCAGUUGUGGUUACAUCUAGAUCUAAGGCAGUAUUGUUCAAAAGCAAUGUCAGGGGAGCCAUGUUUAACUUUCCAUGUUCCAAUAGCCGUAUUUUUAAAAAAGUAAGGAGAAAGAAACACGAUAAAUUUUAAUAUUUCAUUAUAUUUAACCGGUUACAUCUCAAAUAUGUGAACAUGUGAACUGUGUACAAAUUAUUGCAAUGUAUCAAUUUUUUUGUAAGUCUUUGCAAUUGGUGUGUAUUUUAUAUUUCUAGCACACCUUACUUUAGACUGGGCACAUUUCAGGUGCUCAGAGGUCACAAGUGGCUCAUGGCUGCCAUAUUGCAGAGCAUAGGUCUUGGGAAUCACUGUGGAGGAAGUACAGUCCAAGGUUAUUGGAGGGUGGGUUUAAGGAACAGAGAAGCCAAGGUUCAUGAAGGAUUAUGUGGAUCUAAGCCACUUGGGAUUCCUUACAGAGUGGGGCCGCAGGGGUUAGGAGGCUGAGUGCUUUAAUCUGCCACCCAUCAAGUGAGUCUCAGCAUCUGUGGGACUAUGAGGGACUGCUCUUGCCUCAUCUUAAGUCCAGAAAUCAUGGGUAUGGGGCAUGCUUUCAGACUCACAAUAAAAUAUCAGAAACAUGGGCUAUAAUAUUGAGAGGAUCUUUUCAAAAUAGCAGCUUCCAGUCAGGGUUCACUCUCAUUCAGAAGGCAUUUCUUUGAGCCACUAAUGAAGAUGUUACCCAUGUGAAGAACUCAUUCCAGCCCAUUUUUUUUUUCCUCAAGAAAAAAAUAUCCGUUAGAUUUUUGUCUUUUAUUUUGACAUAAAUCUUUAGAUGCUGAUCUUUAUUUUGGCAUAAUCCUCAAAUCCCUCAAAUUCUGUUUGUAAUACUUAGCUCAACAAUCUUAAACACGCUUGAAUCCCUGCAGAAGCCGACAUUUAGGAGUUUCAAGGCAGUCCACAUGAUACGCGGACAGCAGCAUGCAGCCUGGCUACCCUCUCUGCUCCUUUUGAUAGGGUACAUGUGGUAAUAUAUUUUAUAUAUACAUGCAUAUCUGUUUGUGUGUGUGUGUGUGUGUGUGUGUGUGUGUAUAAAUAUUGGCUUUGAUCCACAGUGAGUCUUUAAAGAUCAAUAAAAAUGGAUGAUGUCAGGAAGCUGUUUUUGGCCUUAUAGGCCAGGAAAAAGGAAAAUGUUUUGAAGGGGUAGACAGGAACACUUCCACAGCUCAGUUGCUAUCACUACUUUUCAUAUUUAAAGUUAACACAAGCUGCUCGUCUGAAUCCCAAUGGAAAAGGUGAAUGGAUAUUCCAGUUCUGUACCUUUAUCAAAUUCAGAUGUACCUUAGAUUCCUUUCAGUUUGUUUCCUGUAGUAUUAGGAUUAACAGCAGCAACAACAAAAAUCCUCCCAGCUCAGAUAUUUAGGAAGAAGAACCCAUUUUGAAUCUGUGUUUAUGUGCCCCCUGUUCUCAGAUGCUAUGUGUGUUGAAGGAGCAGUUGUUCAUUUUGUAGGUGCCAGUGUCAGGGAAUGAGGGAUCCAAGUGGUCCCAAGCACCUAGGCUUUGGUAAUCUCAGAGCAGUGUGAGAGUCUGCUGGGUCAGAACUGUCUUCCCUCUGGGUGUGGUGCCUCCUCUCUGCACUGUAGUGUUCCCUGAGAGCAAGCCCAGGAAACGCCACUUAGUAACGAGGAAAGCUUUCUCCUUAUGUGAGUUUUCUAAUUAAAAUGUUUUCCAUCUGAUGGGGAAGUGUGUGAAUAUCAAGAACUGGAAAUUAAGCAAGAAAUUAAAAGAACAUUAAUGGUUUCUUUGCAAUUUGUUUUGAGGUUUUCCUCACUAAGUGGUAUUUUGCUUACAAAGUCACCCUUUCACACAUAAAUCUUUAUGACAAAUGGACUGGAAUAUAUCCCAGCAAAAGAAGAGCUAUGGUGUCAUGUGUAAAUUAUAUCACACAUUGUGAAAGAGAACCCAAAGCAUUCACUUUUUAAAAAAGCAUUGUUAGUGCAGUUACUUAAUUGGUGUAUACAAAAUUAUAGUUUAUUUGAAAGUGAAGGUUGGUUUGUCUAGAGGACUGGAAGAAUAAGUGUUCUGACAUUUGUUCAUUGUUUGAAUUUACACUCCAGACACCAGAAUGCUCAAUAAAUCCAAAGUGUGAUUUACUGACUCUUUAAAAAGUUCACUGCUGAAACUUUAUCCAUCGCAACCAGUGUCCCUUCACCCCGAGGUAUGUUUGAUCUGCAGUAGGCAGGCACCUGCCCUUCCUGGUCCUUGGGCCUCAGGGAGUGCAUCGAAUGCCACACUGGCAGUUUUGUUUGUUUUGUUAUCUGGAUUUGUGUCUACUAGUAAAGUCUUCAUUAAGCUGCAGCUUCUACCUCUGGGUGGAGAAGUAGGUGGAAACAGGGAACUGUCAAACUCUGUAGCCCUUCCCGGCCUACCUCAAAGUGCCCCCACCCACAGCCUCUCACCUGCCUCUUCUCUCUCCUAGACCUCAGGGUACUGCAUGUUCUGUCUGCUGUGCUUUCAGUUUCCUUCUCUGGCCCAGCCCUUCCUCCCUACUUCCGUUUAUUCUGGUGGACAGCCUUUAGGGGCCAGCCCAGAUGCCACUUCUUCAUGCACCCUUUCUUGGGCUCCAUUCUGCAUAGUCCAUCCUUUGGUUCAUUCUUCUCCUUCCCAUAUCCCCUGUGAGGACUGUCGCCAUGAAAAUGUCAUGAUCUCUUUAUUGGUGUCUUUAAUCUACUAAAUCAGGAGCUCUUUGGGAGCAGGUGCUGGGCCUCCCUUAGAUUUCUGUUUCCCUAGAACCCAGCCCAGCACCUGCACAUGGUUGUGAGUGAAUGAAUUCGGGUGGAUGGGUGGGGGAGUGAUGGUGGGGUAAUGUACCUUCAAGUCAAAAAGGUAAACUUGAUUCCUGUUUUGGAGAAAGAGAAGAAUAAAUACUGUUUUUGUUUAUACAGGUCUUAAAAUUUUGGUAGCAGAGAGCAAAUGUGCAGAGAGCAAUGGAAAACAAGUCAGAAGCUGCUGUCUGAUUCCAGAGAAGGUCACAUUUUAUGCAAAAAGAAAAAAAGUAAUUUACAUUUGAUCACCUUGAGAUCUUCAAUUUGUCAUUGUGAUAUCUUAAGUAACUAAUGAUUAAGUGAAAUAAAUCUUGGGAAAAUAGAUCACAAAUGGAAUGAGGACUUUGCAUUGUAAGAAACCCACAACUCUUUUCUUUUCACAACAUGACCUUUUUAAAAAGUACCUUAUUGCAGGCUUGUGAAGGUGGCUGGCCUCUGAGCACUGGGCACAUGCCUGAAAGUGAUAGGCCUUUUUUAUUUACCUUGAUCCGCUGGAAUUAAACAGUCAUGCUUAUAUUCAGUUAGUUUGAGGUUUGGUUGGAAUUCAGUUCCAAAUUGGCGAAAGAAAUGAGCAUCCAGCCCCUCUUCCUCAUAUUGUCCAACUUGCCUUAUGAGACUCAUAUGCACAGUAUUCCCUGUUUAAACUGAAGUCACUCACUUGACUCUGUCCCUGCAGUAGUCCCUAAGGAAGGUAAACGAACAGAUAUCUUGAGACUUCCUUCUGCAUCAGUAGUUUUGAUAGUUUCAAGGCCACUGUGGAAUUCACCUGUAGUCUGUUAGGACCUUACCUUACUUAGGAACAUUAGUCCUUUUACUCACACACCCUCCAGUAUCCCUUUGGAAUGCUGUGUUUUUCUAACCCAUGAAACUGGUCUAGAAAGUACAGUAGCAAGUGCUGAGAAUUGAAGUCCACCUUCCUAGUGCUGUGCUUCACAAAUAGUCUCUAGCUGGGGGCCUCUCAGAGCAUGGUGUUCUGUUAUAUCAAUAUGUACUUAGACAUGCUAAUCUGAAUUAGAGAGCCGAUAUACAUAAUGACUCCCCUGGGAUGCUAUAUUAGAAAAAAAACAAAACAAAAACUGAAGUAGUUUGCUGAAUAUGCAUAGGAAGCUAAAAAAUAAAAUCCUUCUAAAAUGAGCGUUAAUUGAAUCUGGACCUUGAUCAUCUUUGAACCUCUAAUUUUUAAUUUGAUCCUUUAAAAAAGUUUUAUAGGUUCUUGAAGACAAAAUCUACAACUCAAUAAAAGUUAUGCUGUAGUGAUUGCCUAAAGACUGUACAAAGCCCAAUUUUGAGGUAUUGUUGCUCCAUGUAUACACAGCAUGUGUGGGGUAGAUGUAUAUAUAUGUACAUGUUCAUGCAUACACAUACCAACUAUAUGUGCUUAAUCUAUGCUGUAGUUUGCCUUUAUUCAGAUUCCCUCUAGAAAUGGGGCAAAUUUUCUUCAGUUAAAAACAGAAAUAGAAGCGCCGGCCUUGACCCAUUUUAUACCUGUUUAUUUCAGGCUCUCACCACACACUUGUUCAUGGGCACAGCAAGAAGAGGGAUCCACAGAGCUGGAGCCGUGAGGUCUGACACAUUGGGGUGAAGCUGGCAAAAUUCGUAGGGAGAGCUUUACCAUCCUGCCAGCUCCAUAUCUGGCCUCAAGACAGUUCUAUUAGUGAAUUAAUUGUACUCAAAACCUCGAAUUCAUUUGAACCGAAUGUUACUAAAAAUGAAAUAGAUCAAAGUGACCUCCUCUUGCCUCAUCCAGAGUGAUUGUGAAGGAGCCCAUGGCCUCAUUUAUCUCUGGAGAGCAGGUCUCCACCUGUGUGCCUCCUGGUCCUGGGGUUUUUCGUGCCCGUCCCUGAUGCUACUCUGCCCGCAGUCCCUCAGCAGGCUUCCAUUUCUUACUGGCACUUCACUCCCCUGGAAUCUCUUUAUGUUGAUUACUGUUUGUCUCCCACAAGAAUGGAAGCUCCAUGAGAGCAGGGUCUCUGUCUUGUUCCAUGUCCCAGUGCAUAGGACAGUGCCUGGCACAGUAGAGUUUCAAUAAACGCUAUUGAAUGAACUAGUGGGUCACUAGCCUUGUGUCCUUUCUCAAUCUUUCCCUUUUACUUGCUGUUUAUAUAUGACAUGCCUUUUAAAGUCAUAAAGCAGUGAAAAAUUGGGAUCAAGUGUAAAAAUUUUGUUGUGAUUGAAAUAACUGUUGACCUAGUUCAGGGUAGAACAGAAAACCCAGAGUGUAUGAGGACUUAAGAAUUACAACCUGUGUGUUAUGGUAUCCAUGCCUCCUGGAUCGAAGGUAUAGAUGGGUGGAAAUAGGAGUCAGCUCUCUGGAAUAUUGUAACAUUGACACCAGGGAGAGUUGGAAGAAACAAUUGAGGAAGGGGAUCAGGGAAGCAGAAAAUAGACAAAUACUGAAUGAUUUUCUUAAUAUUUAAUAAUUAAUAAAUGUUGGCAUCAAAUAAACAAGGUAAAUCAAAAUAUUUUCUAGAUCAAGUGGGCAUUAACAAAGAUACACAGGGAACUUGAGGUGAUGCCAGUCAUGUGCCACAUGACGAUGUCUGGUUGUCAGUGGACUGUGUGCACGACGGUGGUCCCAUAAGAUCACAUGGCAUCGCAACGUCAUUGUCAUCUCAGUUCAUGUAAGUACAAGUGGUGAUGUCCCCGUCCCAUGAUGACAGGAAUCACCAGUAUUGCAUUUCUCAGAAUUUGUGUUGGAGAGUGUGGCUGUGUUAAGAUGAUACUAACAUAAGUGCUUUUGUUCCAGAUGGCCUUCACGGAUGCCCUAGUCUCGUCCUCUUUACUCCUUGUGUAUUGACAUAGGCCAGAAACUGAUACUGUUCUUGUAAAUUUUUGAGAAGUUUUCUUUAUUAUUAUUUUUUAAAACAAAGAACAAAAACCAAGGAGACAGUAUUCUGUGAUGUAGGCUGUUAUCUCAAGGUGAGUUUAUUUGUAGCACUAACUUGUGAUAAAUUGUUUAAAGAACUAACACUUCUUUUCAGAUUGAGCAUAUUUUAUCUGUCAGAUUUUGUUUAUUUCAGCGUAAACUUGGGUUGUUAUACACUGUGAAGGAAUCAACUAAAGCAAGGACCAAGGUUCAAUUUAUGCUGGAAUUUUUUUUCAUGCAGAGAAUUGACCAAUAUUUCUGAUCAAAUCAGUAAAUAUGAUUCAGUUUCAUUAAAUAAAGUGUGAAAAGCAAAGGCCAGAUUUUUAUGUACCACAAAGCAAAAGAGAAAAGAAAACCCUCUUGGAGCGUGACGCAUUUUCAUUAGACUUAAAUGUUGAGUUAUUUUGAUUAUCUAAUCCUACCCUCCCAUGGAAGUGUAAGGAGUGUGAAUUCUGGGGUGAAGAUGUAAUCACAAGAAAUGGUUAGUGAGGCAGAACACACAAGUCUGUAUUUAUAGUUUUGUGGACAAAUUAAUCAUCAGCAGAGGAUACAAAUGCAAAAAAGAAUUCUCGAUUGCAUUCAAGAAGUGCAAGGCUGAACUUUCGAAACUAAGAAUUUUAAACCUUCUCAGGGAUGCGUUAUUAAGUAAGUUAAUGUGCUUGGAACAGGAACCUAGUAUGUAAUGAUCACUCAUAAAAUUUGCUGUUUAUUCUUAGAUGGAUUCUAGUACAGGAGAUGAAAGCAUGUUUUAACUGUGCUUAAUAAACUGUACUGUGGUUGGGUAUGGGCGAGUGUCCACUUCUAAUCGAAGCAAGUGCAGCUUCUUGAAGCAAAGCUCAUAGCAAAAACUCUUCCUCGUAUUUUUUUUUGUGUGUGUGUGUGCGCGUGCACACACAUGUAAAACAUGCUGGGGCAGGCUGUGCAGAUGAUGCUUCUGUGGCAAGAGCUACAGCAGCUGCUGCUCCACUUUCGGUUUCAUUCUCAAGAGUUGUUCUGAUUAAUCUGAAGUUUUGAUUAACUUAUGUUUUUCAUAUAUCCUGCAGCUGCAUGUGUGUACCUUUAAGUUUUGUGGAAUUAAAUAAAAAUUUAUGACCAGUGACUCUUUAAAGCCACUGUCAAAGUUGCAUACAAAACACUUCAUAGGUUUGAAGUCUAGUUUUCAUUGAGCAUUCCUGCCGUUUAAAGUAUGUGACAUAAGCUUUUAAAGAGCGAUUCCAUGAGUUAGUGCCCUCUGGUGGCACACAGAGGACAUCAAGCACAGAGGGACUGUGACCCAAGAACCUUCAGAUAGCUCUUCUAAAUUAGACUGCUUUUUUGUUAGUUCUUUCUGGUAGUUUUUCCUUUGGGUGGAGUUUGAAAGUCCCCUGGUAGUUGGUUGAUGCCUGCCUGUCAUCAUAUCUUUUUUUUUGUGUUUGGUGCUUAUCAGUUUCUUACUCUGCUAAACUCUGGUCCUGGGGUUGACUUGCUAGCAACCCAGCGAUGUUAGCAGUGUAGGUUGUGAAUAGAAAUCCAGGUGAGGGGGUUUUUGGGUGGGUUUGCUGUAAAAAGGUACAUGCCAGCAUUCAGAUUUCCCAGAACCAGAGCAUCCAUUUUUAGAUGCAUCUCUUAUCUCCCUUUUAAAAGGGAGACCAUGUCACUUCCUGGAUUAAGGAGGGAGCCUUUCUGAUGGCCUUGGGGUGACUAGGACACAGCUUGAGAUGAGCCCAUUGGAGGACUGGUCUUUGGUGGUACUCACUUACCAUUUUGGCCUUCCUGGGGCCCAUCUUUCCCACAGAGGCCUUUGACAGAGGUCAUGCAGGCCAGGAACUGAAUCCUCCCUCCACCACUGAGAAGUUGUGGGGCCCUGGGGCAGUUACUGUGUCUUGUGUGGGUCUCUUUAGCUGUGAAAUAGGGGUGACUUUUAACCUGUGUUUCAAAUUGAUGUGAAGAGACACCCGUGAGGGUGAGGUGAGAUGCUGUGUGUUUAAGAACUCUUUGUGGACCUUUGCCAACUGCUGCUGAGGAUGUUUCCUUCUCUCUCUCUCUCUCUUUUUUUAAAAUAUAUUUUUAGUUGUAGAUAGACACAAUAUCUUUUUUUUUAAUUUUUUUAAUGGUGCUGCUGAUCAAACCCAGUGCCUCACGCAUGGGAGACGAGCGCUCUACCACUGAGCUACAACCCAGCCCCAUUUUCCUUCUCUUCUUUAAAGGCAAGUACUCUGCCCUUUUUAAACUUAAAAGGUCAUUUAAAACAAACAAACUUUAUUUUGGAUCAACUUCAUUUUACAGCAAAGUUACAGAGACGGUAUGGAGUGUUCAUACAUCCUUGCCUCAUUUCUCCUGCAGGCCCCACUUUUAUCCUGUUGAGUUUUCCUGAUAGUUUUCUCUGAGAGCUCUGUGAAGUUGGGUCACAUCUGGUUCAAGUGCCAGCUAACACCUUGCUGAGACAGAGCUGUUUGCUUUGAAUCCUUGGUGUCCACUGGUGAUGUGGUGUUUGCUUCCUUUUACCUUGCUUGUGUCUGUGACCAUUUGACAUUAGGACAGUCUUGUGUGAUUUUCCAGGAUCUUAAUGCCUAAGUAUUUCCCCUUCUGUGCAGUUAAUGAGCUGUGCAACCUAAGGAAAGAUGGGUAAUCAGUUUCCAUCAGUAUUUCAGCUGGGCAUUUUUGCAGUCUCAUAGCUACUUGUCACAUAGCUGCGAGGUGAAGGCAAAAGCACAUGGAUCUUCAAAAAUGAAUAAACAACAGAAUUAUCUGUAGAAAUGGGAAACUUACCUCCCAAUUAAAAGUCCAUUAGCUAGUUUUAAUGCAUAAAUAAUCUGUAAUUAGCAUUAUUAAAUGAAAAAAAAUACUUGAGACACUCAAUAUUUUACAUGUUUUAGCAACCUAAGAAAAUGUCACAACUUCUUGACAAGGUUUCUUGACAGUCCUGGGAGGAUAGACAGGGAGAGCUCAGUCCCUUUUCAUGAAUGCAGGUGAAGUAAGGGAGGCCAAGGGGUGACCUGAUCGGGGCCACACAGCAAGUUAAGUGAGUCAUCCUCCAAACACAGCCUGAGCAUGUUCAGCCCAUGCCUCCCCACAGCACUCCUGCAACUGUGGAGUGUUGGGAAGGCUGUUGGUCCACACUUAGUUCACUAAGCUCAAUUUUAGUGAUAUUACUUAAGCUAUUAAUUAAUAUGUAUAGUAAUGCUUUAAUACCUCAUAGACAAUUUCCAUUUUUUUUUUUUUUAGGACUUUACUGAAAUCAGCAUUGUUGGUCCUGAGUUAACAGAAUCUAAUUGUUCUGUGCAGAACUUCAGAGGAAACCUGUGUUUUAUAUUCACUUUUUUUUUUGUGUGUGUGUGUGUGUGUGUGUGGCUGUGACCAAAAGACCUGAUAAGAACAACAUAGAGAAGAGAAAGUUUAUUUAGGGCUCAUGGUUUUGGAGGUCUCAGUCCAUAGAUGGCCAACUCUGUAGCUCUGGGUUCCAGGUGAGGUGACCAUCAUGGCGGAAGGGUGUGUCAGAAGAAAGUAGCUCAGGAUAUGGCAACAAGGAAAUAGUUCCACUAUUUAAACCCCAAAGGCACACCCCAUCUGCCUAUGUAUAGUCCCUGUCCGUUUGAUCCAUGUCAGUGGAUUAAUGAACUGCUUAGAUUAAGGCUCUCAUAACCCAAUUGUUUUACCUCUGAACUUUCUUGCAUUGUCUCACAUGUGCUUUUUUUUUUUUUCGUACCAGGGAUUAUUGAACCCUGGGGUGCUUAAUCACUGAGCCACAUCCCCAGCCCUUUUUAUGUUUUAUUAAGAUAGGGUCCCACUAAGUUGCUUAGUGUCUCCCUAAGUUGCUGAGGCUGGCUUUGAACUUGUCAUCCUUCUGUCUUAGCCUUCUGAGCUUCUGGGAUUAUGUGCCACCAUACCCCGCUCACACAUGAACUUUUGGGGGAUACCUCGUAUCUAAACCAUAACACCGUGGGUUGGCUACUGUUGGUUCGUCUCAAGCUCUGCACUGUGGCAACAUUGCCACAAGCUCUGGGAUGACUGUAGUCUCUUCCGGGAGGCUGCAUCUUGUCUGUGACCUUUGGGUUACAUAUUGUGCUGGAGAUAAACCUUGACAGCACAGACGUGUGUGACAUAUUUUUUUACAAGAGCUACUGAAAUGUUUGAAUGAGAAGAUGAUGUCAUUUGAAAAAGUGAUAAAUGGGCCAAAUUCUUGAGAAGCUAGCAGAACAUCUUACUGAAACCUUGAGAUCUGCUCAGAAAAUGGGAAUGAGUCUUUUAAGUUUUUUUUUUUUUUGCAAAUAUGAUGGAGGUGUCAGUGCUUUUAUAUGAAUUGUGGUACCUCUUUCUAUGGUACAGAAAUUUUGUUGUCGUGUGCCUUAGUCUUUGUUUUGUUUUUGGUUAGGCAUCUCAGCUCAGAGCGGCCCCUGUGCUGGUGACUGUAGUGGCAGCAGGUCUCAGGCCUUGUUCACUGCUUGGUGGGUGGGUUUUUUGUUCUGUUUUUAAUCAGUAACUUAGAACAAACCUAAGCCAAAGUCAAAUCUGUGAAUAAAGAUACGUUUUAAUCUUCUGAAGUCCUAAAGCCUCAUUAAAGAGCCUGAAGAGGCUGUAUCUAUCUUUUUUUCUGGUAGGCUGUGGAGGGAUCCAGAUAUCUGCCUGUUUUAGCCAGGCAUCUUUGAAUUGUGGCGCAGCAGCCAGGCAGCUUUAGGUGUCACCUGAUAACUCUUUGCAGUUGGUUGGUUUGCCCUCAGGUGUGUUGCUUUGGGUCCUUAGGGAACAAGUGGGGCAGUCGGGCUGGAAUGAGAGGGCAGCCACUCAUAGAAGUGUUCCCUGUGGGGACAUUUUCAGAAUUCGUAGUGAAGAUUUUAGCUUCUUGUGUGCAUUUUGGGGCAGUUGUUCAUUACAGUAGGCUUGCAUUGCACCAGGGGGACACACAUGGGACCAAGAAAGUGACAGGCUGCAGUUCUUGGCUUUCUUUGCUAUGGGUCACUGGAGAGACUCAACACUUUCCUUUCCUUUAGCCCUGGGCUCCUGUAAUCUGUGGUGCUAAGCCUGAGAGAGGGGUGCUUUGGAUUAAUUUGUAGCUUACAGCGUCUUUUAUUUUUUUGGUACUGGUGAUUGAAUCCAGGGGUGCAUUACUGCUGAGUUACAUGCCCUGCUCUUUAAGACAGGGUCUCACUAACUUCCUUAAGGCCUUGCUAAGUAGCUGAGGCUGGCCUUGAACUUGAAAUCCUACUGUCUCAGCCUCCCAAAUUGCUGGGAUUACAGGUGUGCACCACUGCACCAGGCUGUAGUUUACAGACUCUUGACGGGAAAAUAGGUUUAAGAUUUCGGUUGUAUAAUUUAUAUAAAUGAUGGAAAGCAUCAAGCACAUUCCCUGCAUGCAUAGUCGAGCCAGUUAUACAGAUAUAUAUUUAAAUUUUUCUUUUAGCCAUGGAUGGGCACUUUCCAUCUUAUAUUUUUUUUCCUUUCCUUUAACCACCAGAGAGAUUGACACUGAAGAAUGACAUGGGAUCCAGUAUGUAAAUGUAGAAAGUGGAGAUCGGCGCUUUAGGUGCUUUGUGAUGAGUGCAAUUAAGUAAAUGGAGAAGUGCACAGUUGUUGAUUUGAAGGCUGGUUAUAACAUUCUAAAACCACCUGGCUGCCUUGCACUGAAACAGGCCUUUGGAGUAGGUUUUGUGUUUUAAGUUCAGUUUUGAGAAUCAGCCAUUUACUGUGAAAGCAAAGUUACUGGGAAGUUUGUUUUAAAGAUGCUGCCACCCUCUAUUUCUGUGAACCCAGUAAAAAUAGCACAGAAUAAAAUUUAAUUAUGCUGUGCUGAAUAUUUCAUGUGGAAUUAAGGGGCAAAAGCUGCCUUUAAAAAGCAUUAGGUUUGGAAAGAAUAAAGGCUUUGUAGGUUCUUUGGAAGAUACUAUAAUUAAAAGAUUUGUUCAAAUGUAUUUUUCCCUUUUUUGAAGAGUUUAAAGAAAUCCAUCCCUCCCUUCCUAAAUUGAUUACCUCUCAAACAACAGCCCUGCUUGGCAGUAAAUACGGUGAAGCUGCCUCUGUGCUGAUUUGACAGCUUUUUUCUGUUAAGUGUAAAAUAGUUUUUUAAUCUUCUGAUUUAGAUGUUUAAUAGAAAGUAAAUGUUUGACUUGCUUUGGUUUCUGCUGAACCUGUAUUUAAAUCCACACAAACAGUUUGAAUAAAGUGAAAACAUCACUGGACUAGCUAUUUUAAACAUUUCAGGAUAUAAGAAUGCUAAAUGGGGUUCCCUUUUAAAAAUAGAAAUGGCUGCUUGCAUUUGCAUAAUUACUGCUAACUAGCACAACAUUUUAAAUGGUGACAAACUCAGGGUAGAAAAUGUAGCUGUUUUAAAAACCUUGGUAAAAGGAAGCCGGAACUGUUCUGUGAGCAGCUGCUUUGGAUGGAGGGUCUUUGCAAAGGCAGGAAACAGGCUUUACAGUUGGAGGGGUGGUAUCAGGGAGGAGAGGUGAGCAGCACGGUGGCUUCUGAUAGCUCUGAGCUGGUGUGUGGGCCAGAACUUACCAGCCUUUCAUUUUGAUACAUGAGUCUUAAGUAUUGACUCUUAAAUCUGCCUUGCUGUUUUGGACUGGGUGCAAGUGUUCUGUGCCAAUGUUGGAAGGCGUCUGGUGAGGACUGAGGGUCAGUGUUGGUGAGAAGAGCAUGGGAGGAUAUUUGUGAAAAUGAAAACGAAGAGUAGGGUUGUCUUCACAAGCUCAUCCUGAGUAUCCUCUGGAGUAUCCUUGAUUCUGCCUUCUACCCUUCUCAGGCUUUGAAUCCAUAUGUAAGUUUUUUUUGUUCUCUUUCCACAGCAUCUGACCUUCCACAUUUCCACCAGUGCCACCUCCUCCCAGCUGCUCUUGUGUUCUUCGCCUAGACAUCUGCCCCAUCUGUUCCCUAUGUCGAUGCCUACCUCCAGUUUUGCUUCCCUUCUGGGGUGGGAUCUCUCUUAAAAACGUAAACAGGAUUAGGUCUAGCUUGCUUCAACCCUGUGGGGACUUUCUAUCCCUUUGGAGUCCAGCAGCUUGCUCAUCACUCACUUCCCACCAUUUGCCGCUUUCUUCUCGGCACGCUGAUCCUUCCCGUACCACAUUGAGACUCAUCAAGCAUGUUUCUGCUGUGGUUAGUUUCCUCUACCAGGAAUGCUCUCCCUUCCCCUCUGCACCUAUGUGUGCUGGCUCCUUAGUGCCACUCAGGCUGACCUCACACGCCAUCUCCUCAGACAGACCUUCCCUGAGGACUCGGUCUCAUAUAGUGCCCGCCUACUCUCAUGCUGCAUGUGUUUUCUUCAUAGCAUUUGUAACUGUUGGAAAUCGUCUUUCUGUGUCUCCUCCCCACACCACCAACUCUCUCAGGGCAGGGACCUUGUCUGUCCCCAGCUGCGCUCCAGCAGCUGGGAUCAGAUGAGUGCGGAGGAGGGACCUGGAAGGCGAAGCUAGAGGGCACUCACCUGGUGGAGUCAUUUCUGGGAAGGGUGGUUCUGGAGUCUUUGUAAAUGUUUUUGGAAUUGUUUGGGAAACACUGUUCUAAAUCUUGCCUUUUAAGCUUUGAGAGUUGAAAUUGGGGUCUCAGUCAGUGUCUGUGCUUAAACAGGGUCCCAAGAAGUUGGGCAAGUGGUUCUUGCUGCACCUCAGCUGAGAUGGAAGGUUCUGUACCCAGGUUCUUAUCCACAGCAGGAGCUUACUGGGUGCUUGCCUCCCUGCUGGAGGGAGUGGGGCCGGGGUACGGAGACCACUGUCUUGCUUUGCCAAAGACUGAAUUUGAACUCACACUCAGCUUGAGAAGCCAGAUGGCGUUUUCUGUGACUUCCUGUGGCAUCUUUCCUGUGAGCACGACAGAGAUGCUUCCCGAGUUCAGUGGUCAUUCUGGGGUCAGGUAACAAAAAAGAGAGGAUUUGGGCUGGGGUUGUAGCUCAGCGGUAGCACACUCGCCUAGUACGUGUGAGGCCCUGGGUUCGAUCCUCAGCACCGCAUAAAAAUAAAUAAAAAAAAUAAAGGUAUUGUGUACAACUAAAAAUAAAUAUUUAAAAAAAAUAGUAUUUCAUGAAAAUUAGAAAGGAGACCAGUAGAGUAGAAAAGUGGGAGGGAGGUUAUAGGUAAUGAAAUUGACCAAAUUAUGUAUGCAUUUGUGAAUUCUAACAACAAAUUCCAUUAAUGUGCAUAAUUAUAAUUCAUCAAGAAAAUUUUAAAAAGGUACAGAUAUUUGCAGAAACAUAAACUUUGGUGAUCAGCUUUUAGCUUCCUUGGUUUUCUCUGGGACAUCCAUGUUUUAGGAGGGAUAUGGAAGGCUGCCGAUACCUAGCAAGUUGUGAAGGUGCUCAGAAGUAGUUAGUUGAACCCUUUGUGUUCAUAUUCCUUAGGGAAGAAAAGAAUCACAUUUCCAGCUCACUGAAUCUCGUACAUUUUAUGCCACUCCCAACUGUCUGCUGAGGCAUUGACUUUAGUCUUGAAUGUGCUAGUUGGGGACUGGGUUGUAGAACUCAGGAGACCUGUCUGCUAAGCAAAAGCUCCCUUGUGUGACUUUCCAUUCUCACUGUUGUCUUUAGCAGGGCAUUAUUACAGUGGUUGGGUUGUACAGUGAAAACAGUGACUAAGUUAAUUUAUAGUGAAAUGGACCCUUUUUUAGAACUGGGACCUAAAAUCCUACUCUGGAGUGAUAGGAUUAGAGUUGCUUUUGAUUGAACAUCAGUUCAUUAGAUGAGGUUUAAGAGAAUUACCCCCUUGUGUUUGGAGCAUAAUGCCACCCAGGUGCAGGUAUCUUCACAACUCCAGGUCCCAUACCUGCCACAGGAAAUCAGACUGGAGUUGAAGGGAACAAACUGGGUACACACCGGCUGAGUCAAAAGCUCCAGGUCCUUUCAGGAUCACCAGGUGUGAAGUGGAGGAGGAUAGAUGGGACUGGAAAAGGGUCUAGUAUACAAGAAAUGGGCGACCUCAGCAGGUUGCCUUCCUAUGAUGGUAAGCUACUGUUUUUAAGGUCAGCUGGGGGUGGGGAGAAGAGCUGGAAUUACUUGCCAGUCAUUGAUGUCCUAUUUAGUGCGGGCUGACUGAGCCUGCCAGUACUUGAAGCCACUCUUACAGCUGACACUUUGAAAACCACCUACUCACACCACCAGGUUGCAUCGAUUUUCUGAUUUGACCCUCAGUUGAUUACAUUUGGAGUUAACAUAGUGGAUUGGUCAGGUGAAUGUUCUAAGUGUACAUACUGGCUGCUGGCAGCCAGCAAUCCUGGUGAGUUAUUCAAAGGGCAGUGACCUUCCCAACUGCAUUAUUAGAAAUUAGUGUAUACAGUACAUUUGACAUUGUGUUUGACACACAUUCCAUUUAUGUAGUUGUGAUGUAAAUGUUUAGGAAUCAUCACACUCUUGAGCCCCCUAGUCAAACCUAAAGAGGUGAGACUGGCAUGUCUACGUGGACAUAGUGGUUGCAUUUAACUGUCCUUGACUGUUAGUAAGGGAAAAGUACCCACUUAAUAUUGAUUAUUUCUCUUUUCCUAAGUGUAAAAGAGCUAAAAUAAUUUCCUGCCCACAAACAGCUUGGUUUUCUUUUUCUGUCUUAUCUUUCUGUGGCUAUUUGCAGAAGUUUCUGGCUAACGAAUAGUUUAUAAUUUUUCUCACUCUUACAAAUGCUUCAUUUAGUCAUAUCUGAAAAACUCCAUGAAUCUGAAUUUGUUACCUCGGGACAGUUGGGAUUCCAAUGGUUCAGUGUUGAUCUCCAGUUUCACAUUCCUUGUUUUGGUACCGUGGUUUGCCAAUUAAAUGUUUCUUAAAGUUGGUUGAGGAGCUUCAACAGUUGUUAAAAGUUUAACGUCUCCCAAUUUAGGGGAAAUUAAUUAUUACAUACAACUUAACAAGAUACAUCUGCUGCCUAUUCCUCAGGUUUAGUGAUGGAAGGAGAAGGUAAUAAAUUCUGUCUUCCAGGCCGACAGAUUUAAGUUCAUGAUGCGGUGAGGGACAGUGGAUAUGACCCAUCAGGAUGGUGCAAAUGGUUUCCAGGGGAUGUUCUGGAAAGGGUUUUCCCUGAGCCUUCUCUCAGAGGAGUUUCCUUUGUGUCCAACUGGCUGAGCCAGCUGGUCUAGCAGGCCUGAUUGCUGAAAGGACUCCGAGUCUCUCAUCAUGUCCAGACCUCUAAACAGGCCCCUGGUUGAUGUGGAUCCCUGGUUGGUUUUGUUUGGUUUUAUUUUUUUUAUCUUUUUUUGGGAGGGAGGGUGUACCAGGGAUUGAACUCUGAAGUGCUCAACCAUUGAUCUACAUCCCAUCCCAAGCCCUGUUUUAUAUUUUGUUUAGAGACAGGGUCUCUAUGAGUUGCUUAGUGUCUCGAUUUUGCUGAGGCUGGCUUUGAACUCAUGAUCCUCUUGCCUUAGCCUCCCAAGCCACUGGGAUUACAGGCGUGUACCACCAUGCCUGGCUGAAGUAUUUUUUUUUUUUGAUGUAGAAGUGGUUUUUACAUUUCAAACACUAGACACAGCACCAGGAUGCCCCUGUCUUUCAUCACCUUUGUGUGCCCUCAUGUCCAUGACAUGUGGAUCUUUGGGGGAAAUCAUGCAGGUACCCAGGUUUGGGCACUUCUCCAGAAUGGGGAAGGUUCGCAGCCCCUGAUGGCUCUGCACCAUCGUGGAGGUGUGCCCAGCCUGCUUAUCCAUCUUGAUGCACUGUGGAUGAUAAACAGUCAUCUCAGCCCUGUGGUGGCUGAGAGGCAGACUCCAGCCAGUGUGUGCUGGGUGAUGGUGUUUCCUGAUGGAUGGCACCUCUUCUGGGAAGCAGCUUAUUGUCUCACGUGAACAGCCUUUCUAGAAUAAAUGGCUGCUUUCGCAAUGUUUUGAAUCAUUUUCCUCAGCACAUGUUUUGUUGCUGUGGUUUGAAAGCUUGCCAAAUAUAUGCCUUUGCACAGCUCCCUGUAGGAUUGGAUCUACAAUCAGACCAAACAGUGUGAUUUAAGGUUGAACAUAAUUGGGAACUCAACAAUCACUUGCCUCAUAUUUGAUAGAAUGGCAGUGGAAUGCUUAAGAAUUAUUUCUCUGUUAAAAAAUUAUAUAUAUAAGACAUGUACACACUGAUAUAGUUUCACGGCCUCAUAAUAAAGAAGUUGUGUCUGAAGCCACUGGGCAAAAACAAUAGCAUGAUAAAUAAUUAUUUGACUUCUGUGACGGAGGCAGUAAUUAACUUCCAACGAGUCCUAGCAGUUGAUACCACAGAAUGUGAGUGAGGACCUUAGUCAAGUCAUAUAACAUUGGAGGAUGGAAAGCAAACGGUGGCAGAAAUACAUUUUAAACUCUGGUCUUUCAUCUGAUAAUAUGUCUUGUUUGUGAACUUAAGUAAUUGAGCCAAAAGCUUGGUGAAUUUGGUGUUGCCUCCCUGUUAAACAAAGGUCUUUGGUUUUACAUUUCAAAUACUACUGUGUGUUUGUCCAUGUUGGAGGGCUGGUUGCCAAUAACGGAGACCUUUCACGGGCCUCUGCUGGUGGGAAAAUGCUAUUAAUAGCCCACUCCCUGGAGCUCUUUAAAAGACAGUUAAGAGCUCUUUGAAAUCCAAAGUUCCUUCACAGUGUGGAGAGAGCGCACAGUACCACAAGCUAGUGUGUACCUGAGAAGAGAGGGUGGGGAGGGGCUGUGACACCCGCAUUUUCCCUUCCAGAUGUGCGGGUGGUCGCCUUGCUUGCAGCUGCCGCUGCUUGGGAAAAAGAAGUGGGGUGUUAGCAGGUGAUGAUGACCACCAGGCUCCUUGUUGAUGGUGUUCUUUUGCCAUCAGUGAAAUGCCUCUCUUCAUCUGUUGUAAGAGUGCUAAUCCAACAGGAAGAGAAAUAAAACACUUUUUAUUUUUAUUUUUAUUUUUUUAGUUUUAGGUGGACACAAUAUCUUUAUUUUACGUUUAUGUGGUGCUGAGGAUCGAACCCAGUGUCUUAUGCAUGCCAGGCGAGCGCUCCACCACUGAGCCACAACCCUAGCCCAGAAAUAAAACUCUUGAGGUCAAAAUCUUGCUAUUUUAGCUUAUACAGUUAGGGUGAAUUUUCUCCAAGGUUUUUUUUUUUUGGACUCUUGGACACUUUCUGAUCAUUGAAAAGCACCUACCUUUUGACAGUUAAAUGUAUCCAACUCAGAAUUUAACCUUUAUUUGUAAAAAUCAUGAUUAUGAAAACUCUAUUUAAACAAUCUAUGAGAAUAAGUGAAUUCAGCAAGGAUAUAAGAUAAAUCAGUUGUAUUCCUGUAUGUCAGCAAUCAACAAUCGGAAGAUGCAACUUACAAAUCAGUAUCAUUUGCUAUAGCUUAAAAAACAUUAAAUACCUUAAAAACUAAGAAAAUACUAUGUAAAGACCUAUACAAAGGUAGGUCUUUCACUAAGAGAAGCUUGAGAUCUAUAGAAGUGGAGGAUGUAUGUAUUAGAAGACUAAAUAUUGUCAAGAUGCCUGUUUUCCCUAAAUUGGUUUGUGAAUUCAGUGCCAUCCUAGUCAAAAUUUAGACAAGCUGAUUGUAAAGUUCAUAAGGAAAUGCAGAGGACCUAGGGGGAAAAAUCAAUUCUGAUAAAGAACAAAGCUAAAAGAUUGCACUGCUUGAUUUCAAGACUUCCUAUCAAGCUACAGUAAUCAAGACAGUGUGGUUUUGCACAGGGAUAGACAUAUAGGUGGAUCAAUGUGACAGAAUAGAGGAGUCCAGAAAUAGACCCACACAUAGGUAGAUGGCCAAUUGAUUUUUGACAAAGGUACAGAGGCCAUUCAAAAGAAAGGAUAGUCUUUUCAAUAAAUUGUAAUGGAACAACAGGAUAUCCAAAUGCAAAAAAAAAAAAGGUACCUUAUACUGUAUACAGAAACUAACUCAACUAACUCAAAGUAGAUUAUAGACCUAAGUUUAAAUUCUAAAAUCAUGAAACUUCUGGCUGGGGGCGGGGGGAGAAACCCACAGGAGAAAGUUUUUAUGACCUUAGGUUAGGAAAUGAUUUCUUAGAUAUGGCACCAAAAGCGCCAUCCUUAAGAGAAAAGAUGGAUGUCAGACUUCAUAAAAUUUAAUGAUUUAUUCUUUAGAAGAAAGUGUUACGGGCCUGGGAUUGUGGCUCAGUGGUGGAGCACUUGCCUAGCACGUGUGAGGCACAGGGUUCAAUCCUCAGCACCACAUAAAAAUAAAUAAAAGCAUUUUGUCCAUCUGCAGCUACAAAAAAACAAAAACAAACAAAAAAAAGAAGUGUUAACGAUAGUGAAAAGACAAGCCACAGACUGGAAGGAACCUUUGCAAAGCAUAUGUACACACAAACACACAGACACACACACAUAUACACACAUACAAAUUCUUAUAUCCAGAAAUAUAGGAAGAACUCUUAAAACUCAAUAAUAUGUAAAACCCAAUUUAAAAACAGGCAGAUUUAAAUAGACAUUUUAAGAUAUACAGAUGGCAACUAAGCACAUGAAAGAUGUUCAAUAUCAUUAGUCAUCAGAGAAAUGAAACUCAAACCACAGUGAAGUACAUAUUUACUAGAAUGUCUUCCAGCCAAAACAAAAAAUGGGAAAUGCUGUUAAUGCUGACUGCAGGGGCUGGGGUUGUGUCUCAGUGGCAGAGCACUUGCCUCGUACAUGUGAGGGACUGGGUUCGAUCCUAAGCACCACAUAAAAAUAAAUAAACAAAGAUAUUAAAAAAAAAAUACUGAGUACUGGUGAACCUGUGGAGCAAAUGAAACUUGCAUCUUGCUUGUAGGAAUGCAGAGUGGUGCAGCUACUUUGAAAUGAAGACUGACAGUUUCUUAUAAACUGCAUUUGAAAAACAGUCUAUUAAAUCUGUACUUCUAACAUGACCCUGCAGUCCCACUUUCUAGGUAUUACCCAGCUGAAUAAGUGCAUACAAAAAUUUGUAUGUGAAUGUUUACAGUGGCUCGGCUCAUGAUCUCCAGGAGCUGCAAACAACCCAGAUGUCAUUCAACUGGUGAAUGAAAAAGCACCUGCAUUGGGAUACUACUCAGCAGUAGAAAGGAACGAACCAGUACAGCAUGGGUGUAUCUCGAACACUCCAUGCACAGUGAAAAGAAAUCAGAAAAUACUGAAAAGUGUCUGCUUCCAUACAUAUGACAUUCUUCAAAAGGCCAAACCAAGAUGGAAAGAAAAUGGGUUGGUGGUUGCCAGGGCCUGGGGUGAGGAUGAGUUAACCAACAAAGGGCACAAGGAACUUUCUGGGGUUGGUGGAAAUGUUCUGUAUCUUGGUUGUGGUAGUGGGUACACAAAUGUAUGAAUUUUUGAAUGUGUGGAUCUAAGCAGUUUGAACAGGUGAUUCAAAAGAAGAUUCCAUAGAUGACAUGGAAGGUGGGGAGGUGCUCCACAUCUUCACUUGUCAGGGAACUGCAGAUUGAAACCACAGUGAGGUGCACUCUGUUAGAAAGUCUGAGAUGAGCAAGACUACCAGCAUUGAACAUCAACUAGACCUUGGCGCAGCGUAGCCCUCAUGGGCACCGGUGGAUAUUGAGUGGUGCAGCCUCUUUGGAGGACUGUUGUCCAUUUCCCCCCUAUAAUUAAACGUAAUCUAUGCUAUGAUCCAGCAAUCCUACUUUUAAUUUACCAUAGAGAAAUGAAAAUAUAUGUUCACAAAAUGACUUAUUAGAAUGUGUAUAUGAAGCCCCAAACUGGGAACAGCCCAAUGUCCAACAACUGAAAAGUUAAUAAAAAGAAUGAAUGACAAAUACAACUAUAUGGAUGGAGCUCAAAGAAGUACAUAUUGUGUGAGUGCAUUUAGGUAGAAUCCGGGAACAGACGAAACCAAUCCAUGGUGACUAACUGGUUUCUUGAGCAUACGGAGGUGAGUUGAGAGAAGCAAGGCAGUUUCUAUGGUGUGGUGGAAAUGCACUGAAUCCCAUUUUGGAUGGUAAUGCAUACACUUGUUAAAACUAUUGCCCAGAUUAAGAUCUG
rnacentral:lncRNA from 1 species